GACGAACGCUGGCGGCGUGCUUAACACGUGCAAGUCGAACGGAAGGGCCCUGCUUUUGUGGGGUGCUCGAGUGGCGAACGGGUGAGUAACAUGUGAGUAACCUGCCCUUGACUUUGGGAUAACUUCAGGAAACUGGGGCUAAUACCGGAUAGGAGCUCCUGCUGCAUGGUGGGGGUUGGAAAGUUUCGGCGGUUGGGGAUGGACUCGCGGCUUAUCAGCUUGUUGGUGGGGUAGUGGCUUACCAAGGCUUUGACGGGUAGCCCGCCUGAGAGGGUGGCCGGGCACAAUUGGACUGAGGUACGGCCCAGAAUCCUUAGGGGGGCAAGAGGUGGGAAUAUUGCACAAUGGGCGGAAGCCUGAUGCAGCAACGCCGCGUGCGGGAUGACGGCCUUCGGGUUGUAAACCGCUUUCGCCUGUGACGAAGCGUGAGUGACGGUAAUGGGUAAAGAAGCACCGGCUAACUACGUG
rnacentral:rRNA from 1 species